GGGGCCGACUGGAAUUGACAGGUUAGGAGUGGUAUUUGUAAGCAUGCCGGGUCAAGCGAUAGAUCCCGUAAAAAGCGGUCGCACAACAUUAAUAGGCGAAUAUAAUUAUUCUUUAGCUGCCUAAUCUAGGAUUAAGCUACGCUAAUCUUUCCCAACUGCCCCGUCUGUUGGCGGUUGAAUCGGAAGGACCGAAAUAACAGAAUAAGUCCUGUCAUGUCCUGAGUCAGGAACGAAAAUCGAAGGGACUCAGACCAAAGUCCGGUAUUUUCAGACCUGCUUUGGUUAAAAUCAACUGAAAAUAAGCAUGUAGAAAGCAUUUAAUACGCUAUCUCUGGACGGGAGUUCGAAUCUCCCCGGCUCCACCU
rnacentral:tmRNA from 1 species